rnacentral:rRNA from 1 species
CAGUAGCCGCGGUAACACGAGGGGGGCAAGCGUUGUUCGGAAUUAUUGGGCGUAAAGGGUGCGUAGGCGGCUUGACAAGUCUUGUGUGAAAUCUAUGGGCUCAACCCAUAGUCUGCACGGGAAACUGUCGGGCUUGAGAAUGGGAGAGGUGAGUGGAAUUUCCGGUGUAGCGGUGAAAUGCGUAGAUAUCGGAAGGAACACCUGUGGCGAAAGCGGCUCACUGGACCAUUUCUGACGCUGAUGCACGAAAGCUAGGGGAGCAAACAGGAUUAGAUACCCUGGUAGUCCCUGUCUCUUAUAU